UACGAAGGGGGCUAGCGUUGCUCGGAAUUACUGGGCGUAAAGCGCACGUAGGCGGCUUUCUAAGUCGGGGGUGAAAUCCUGGAGCUCAACUCCAGAACUGCCUUCGAUACUGGAGAGCUCGAGUCCGGGAGAGGUGAGUGGAACUGCGGAGUGUAGAGGUGAAAUUCGUAGAUAUUCGCAAGAACACCAGUGGCGAAGGCGGCCUUCUGGACAGUGACUGACGCUGGAGACGCGAAAGCGUGGGGAGCAAACAGG
rnacentral:rRNA from 1 species